UUUUGUGCAAAAAAGAAAAGAAAUUAUUAUGGUCUAGAUGAGAAAAAAAGACAUGGUUUCAUUCAAUCCAACAACAAUACAAACCAUUAGACGACAUGUCGUUUGGGUAUAGUACAACUACAAGAACCUCGGUGCUGGAGGAAGUCCGACUUCCACAUCCACAAGAUAUUAAUUAAGAGGAAAAACAAAAUAAUCUGAAAAACACCCAACAAAUGAGUAUGAGUUUCCAAGAUGAGCCAGAUUGCUUUUCAAUUGACUUGCCAGUCAACAUAGAUCCUAUCUACUUAAUUUCUGGCUACAAAACAAACAAAU
rnacentral:lncRNA from 1 species